GCCGGGGUAGCUCAGCUGGUAGAGCGCCCGGCUGUUAACCGGGCGGUCGAGGGUUCGAAUCCCUCCCCCGGCGCCA
rnacentral:tRNA from 2 species